AAUUUCUUGGUUCAUCAGUAUAUCACAGGCGGCAGCAGCAAUGCAAACUUCCCCACAAUGCCCCAUCAACAUGCUUCAAUCCUGACCUAAAUAGGCCACCUCUAGGAUUUACAGAGUGGUU
rnacentral:sRNA from 1 species